rnacentral:lncRNA from 1 species
UUCGUGACUCACAAUGCUAUCUCAUUGUGGCACCUGCUACUGUUUCCAUGCAUCAUGCACAGGCCCAGAUGGAAAGAUGGGGCCCAGGGGUGCAGUCCCACCUAACAUCUGAAAGGGACCUGAUGAAUGCCCACACAUCUUAUCGUCCUCCCAACCCUUCCCCACUCUACAUUCCAGCUUCUGACUUCACUCCCCUGCAUUCUCCUACUGGGGCCCCCUACAUCCACUCUACCACCCCCUACUGUCUUCUCCACACAGCCAACUUGCAAAACGGAAAUCUAUGUCCCUCCCCUGCCAAAGCCCCUCUGCCUUCCAGCCUCCGAGUGAAGGUUACCAUGCCACUCGUGACCUGGUUCCGCUAAGCCCUCAAGGUUCAUCUCUUGCCACCACCCUCCAUUUCCACGCUUUAUGAUGAACUACUCCUUCCAAGAUCUCAAACGGAGUCUUUGGCCUCUCUCGGCCAGACCUCACACUCGCUAUCCCCCAAUGAGGCUGGUCUAUACUCCUUGUCCCGACAUGGCUGGCUCUAUUGUCUUUCAGGCAGAUGUCACUUCGCCCAGGAAGCCCUCCCUCUAAGACCUUUCAUCUGUGUUCUCAUGUCAUCUUUCCUCCCUACUGGCACUCUUGAGCACCACACAGAUUCCUAAUUUCCUAACUACCUAUUGGUGGUCCUCACAGAACUAGAACCACGUGGAGAUUGGCGGUUGUAUGUAUCUUAUUUACCAGCUGGUUCUGUGCAGGUGCGAGGACCCAGCUUUGUUUUUUUACCAGCUGAAUCACCUUGAACACUCAUUGGACCUCACUAAACCUCAAUUGACUCAGCUGUGAAAAACCUUCAGGCCUGGCUUGGGGUACCUUCCUGUACAGCUCAUGGGAAAGGAGAGGAGGGAUGAGCAGAUUCCCUGGGUCCUGCCGGCUUUACUGACUUUGGUUAUUAAGAAGAUAAUAUUCUGGGUCUCCCCGGAUGGACACACAUUAAAGCCACCCUGUUUGGGAAUAGACACCGAUUAAGUUCAGCUUAGAAUUACUCCCAUAAGCAACCAAGAUGUCUUUCAUAGGCGAAUGAAUGAUAUAUCCAGAUACUGGAAUAACUCAACACUUUUAAAAAAUAAAUUAUCAAGCCACAAAGAGAUAUAGAGGAGCCUUCAUUGCACAUCACUAAGUGAAAGAAGCCAGUCUGAAAAGGAUAUAAACUAUAUGAUUCCAACUCUAUCGGGGUCCCGAAGCCCCGAGCUGCGGGCUAGUAAAGGUAGCCUGUUAGGAA